rnacentral:rRNA from 1 species
CAUGCAGUCGAGCGGAUGAGAAGAGCUUGCUGUUCUAUUGGUGGGCAGAGGGGUGAGUAAUACCUAUGAAUCUGCCCGGGACUGGGGGACAACGUUUCCAAAGGAACGCUAAUACCGCAAACGUCCUACCGGAAAAAGGGAGGGACCUUGAGGCCUUGCCCUAUCACAUGAGCCUAGGUCGAAUUAGCUAUUUGGUGAGGUAAUGGCUCACCCAGGCUACGAUCCGUAACUGGUCUGAGAGGAUGAUCAGUCACACUGGAACUGAGACACAGUCCAGACUCCUACUGGAGGCAGCAGUGGGGAAUAUUGGACAAUGGGCGAAAGCCUGAUCCAGCCAUGCCGCGUGUGUGAAGAAGGUCUUCGGAUUGUAAAUCACUUUUAGUUGGGAGGAAGGGCAGUAAGCGAAUACCUUGCUGUUUUGACGUUACCGACAGAAUAAGCACCGGCUAACUCUGUGCCAGCAGCCGCGGUAAUACAAAGGGUGCAAGCGUUAAUCGGAAUUACUGGGCGUAAAGCGCGCGUAGGUGGUUCGUUAAGUUAAAUGUGAAAAUCCCCGGGCUCAACCUGGGAACUGCAUCUGCAACUGGCCAGCUAGAGUAGGGUAGAGGGUGGUGGAAUUUC